GCCCGGUUAGCUCAGUGGUAGAGCGUGUGGCUUUUACGUGAUUUAAUCAUGCAUUGGCGCUACCUCAAUGUCGCGGGUUCGACCCCCGCAUCGGGCU